GUGUCUUUGGUGUGUGGUGGUGGUUUCCUUCCCUGGGCUGUUUAACGAGGUAUUUGUGCAGAGUUAAUUCCUCCUGCUGCUUUACCUUCAGUCCAGCAUGCUUGCCUCAAGGCACUCAGGCAGCCCCUGGUUCUGUGCUCUGUGUUUGGCUGGUCAGCGUUCUUCUGCCAGGUGGUCCCCUCCUGCAGUUAAUUGCCUGCCUGGGUUAAAGGUCACUUGUAAGGGUAGGACAAGAGCUGAGGCAGAGCUUGUUGGGACCCUGACAGACGAGGGAGAAGCAGCAAAUGGAGUUGGAAAAGUAUUGUCCUUUCUGUACCUGAGAAGCUGGACAAGACCAUGGAAUCAGACCCGUGGUCUUGUUGGGGAGUCCACAGUCCAAGGGAACUCCUGGAUUGCUCCUGAAGCCCUGGCCAGGCUUGGGGCCCAAUCCACGAGGAAGCCGAGCCCGGCUGUUGCCGUACUGGACGUUGUGUCAGCCUGUUGCUGGCACCCGAUUGUCCGAGCUGGGCCCUGUCCCAGCAGAGCUGUAAGUCUCUUUGCCUGCAGGUGGAUGCGCCUGUGGGAAGUCCCGGUUAUGGGAGAGGCUCUCCUGUGCUUGGCUGGGACAGGGGAUUCCCAGCUCGCGGGCUGUGGCUCUGGAGGAUGGUGAAGUCUCAGGGUCCCUGGUUGCUGUGUCUCAGUCCCUGUGGUGCUGCUGUCUUUGGUAGCAGUGGUGAGGGGCAUUGCAGGGCUUUGUUGUUUGGAGUUCUUUGCUGCUUUGAGCUCUGGUCGAUGAGGCUGGAUUCCUGAAGCUGGUGUCUGUGUCUUUGCUGCUGCCCCUGCCCCCUGGCCAAACAAACCUGCAAGGAUUUAAGGUUUUAGGCCUGGUAUUCCCUUUGGUGAGCUUCCUCCCAGCCCUGAUGUACUCCUGGAAGUGCCAUGGAGGUGUUCUCCUCUCAGGACUGAGGAGCUGUAGGCUGGGUGCUGCUUCUGUUCUGCCCUGGGAACCCUUGGGCUUGGAGAGAAGCCUGAAGAUGGGCUGGGGAGACAUGAUCUGGGAUAUUCCCCCCUCCUGAUGUUUGGUACCAGUGCAGUAGGAAAGUCCAGGUUUCCAUCUAGCUCAGGAUUUCUUGGUCAUGGGACCAAAACUCUGGGAGAUGCUGGAGUUUGAGGGGGUAUUGUGCUAGCUCUGAUGUAGAGCUGCCUCCUGUCAUGAAGUAAACAGCACUUGCUGCAACUGGCAGACUUCUGUUUGUUUCCCUCAGAGCAUUUAGAGGGCUCUGUAGCUGCUGGGCUGUUCCCAACAGGUGCAAGGUCCUUGUCUGUGCAGUGUAAUGAAUCGUAUUCCACUGAGACUUGAAUGAGCCUCCAGGAAUUUGUGAGCUGAUGAAGGGAUUUCUGAGCCAAAGUUCCUGACCUGAAUAAGGUUGGCAGCUCUAGUGGACACACUGAUUCCUGGUAAUUGUGCCCUUCUGGCUGUGGAGCACCUUGGGGAAGCAGUGGCCUGAAGCUGUUCUUGUGUCUGGCAGUUGCAGGGCACGCUUGGAUCUCUGCUGCAGCUGUUCUGGUGAUCCGUGCUGUGCUUGAGGGAGAGAUCUUGGCUGUGGCUGUGUCCUGCCUGCCUCGGCUGGCAAAUGCUGCGGUUGUGGUUGGCGCGUGGCUGUGGGGAUCCUGGGGACAGUACCCUGGAGCGAGUGCAGUGAUUCCUGAGGAUGAAGAGAGGCUUGGCAUGAGGUGAAGAGACUUGGAGCCACCAUUUUCUCAGAAUGACACUUCUGCUGAAAGGUUUGUCUAAUGCUUGGUGCUUUUGUCCCCCUGGGCUGAGUUCCCUGUUUUGAAUGCAGGAUGGACUUCUGGGGCCUUACACCCAAAGGCAAGCCAAUACCUUCUAGUCUGUGGGAUCACGUCUUCUGGUUUUUUUCUGCUUCCUUUUGUGUGUCAAAACUGGUUGUUGUUUUUGUGCUUUGUACUUAAGGAUGCACGGGAGCUCCUUUGACCCUUCCACACGAAGCAGUCCAAGUGCCCUGUAGUUAAUUGGAUUAGGUGUUGA